rnacentral:lncRNA from 1 species
UGUUGUUGUUGUUAUUGGUUUUGGUAGGCGACUUACUUAUGUAGUAAUUGCGCCUUAAAUUCAUAUAACAUAAGUAUUAUGUAUAUAUACUUUCAGUCCUUAAUUUAUUUUAAGUAUUACGUUUUGGCGAGUUUUAUGUCAAACUUUGGCGAACAUGGUUGACUGAAUUACUCAGAAAUAUAUAUAUAUGUUGAGAGACAAAAAACAAAGCAAAAAACACAUAACAGAAGAUACAUGUAAUAGGAAAAUGAAAAAAAAAGCAAAAAAAAAACAAAAAAGCAAAUGAUAGUCCCUAAUGUAAUGCUUUAUAUAUUGAAAGGUAUCAUAAAAUUGUUUAGAAAUGUAAUCUGGUUAUUCACCUUUGUGUCGUCUGUGAUAUACUUAUAUAAAAAAAAAAGUAUAUUUAGAAACAUGUAACAAGACAUGUGCUAGUUAAAUGCAACCAAUGUUAGGACGUCUCCCUCAAUUGAUGUAGCAAAUAAUGAAUCCUUAAAGUAAGGAUUGGUUGAAGUUAUUCCUUUUCCAUAACGGCAAGUUGCGUCAAUUUAAUCCAAAUAAAUUUCCAAAGACAUACUGGUAUUUAGUGAUUCCUCAUUCCCUGACGAGAAAAAAAUACUUCUGUCAUUGAACGAGGAAUCACCCCUACCUACACCCUUAAUCGCCUAUUUAUAUAUCUAUAUAUAU